ACGACUCUCGGCAACGGAUAUCUCGGCUCUCGCAUCGAUGAAGAACGUAGCAAAAUGCGAUACUUGGUGUGAAUUGCAGAAUCCCGUGAAUCAUCGAGUUUUUGAACGCAAGUUGCGCCCGAAGCCAUUAGGCCGAAGGCACGUCUGCCUGGGCGUCUCGC
rnacentral:rRNA from 3 species